AUUGAACGCUGGCGGCAUGCUUUACACAUGCAAGUCGAACGGUAACAGGCCUUCGGGUGCUGACGAGUGGCGAACGGGUGAGUAAUGCAUCGGAACGUGCCCAAUCGUGGGGGAUAACGUAGCGAAAGUUACGCUAAUACCGCAUAAGCCCUGAGGGGGAAAGCAGGGGAUCGCAAGACCUUGCGCGAAUGGAGCGGCCGAUGUCAGAUUAGCUAGUUGGUGGGGUAAAGGCCUACCAAGGCGACGAUCUGUAGCGGGUCUGAGAGGAUGAUCAGCCACACUGGGACUGAGGCACGGCCCAGACUCCUACGGGAGGCAGCAGUGGGGAAUAUUGGACAAUGGGCGAAAGCCUGAUCCAGCAACGCCGCGUGAGGGAUGACGGCC
rnacentral:rRNA from 1 species